rnacentral:rRNA from 1 species
GACAGAGGGUGCAAACGUUGUUCGGAAUUACUGGGCGUAAAGCGCGUGUAGGCGGCAGCGUGUGUCGGGCGUGAAAUCCCAUGGCUCAACCAUGGAAGUGCACCCGAAACUGCGCAGCUAGAGUCCUGGAGAGGAAGGUGGAAUACUUGGUGUAGAGGUGAAAUUCGUAGAUAUCGGGAGGAACACCAGUGGCGAAGGCGGCGACCUGGGCCAAUAUUGACGCUGAGGUGCGAAAGCGUGGGGAGCAAACAGG